rnacentral:lncRNA from 1 species
AUUAAAGAAAAUCUCGAGGAUAAGGAAAUAAUUAUUUUCUAAAUCGUAGAUUCGUUCGUUGAAUUUGUAAAAGCGUUAUAACCAAGAAACCUUGAUCCAAUUCGAUUAACAUUGUUGCUUGUAUAAGCACAUUCAUCCUGCACGGUAAUUCAAAUGGACAGAAUAAUGCGUUCGGACGUAAUGCAGUAGCGUGUAAUUUUGAUCGUACAAUUUUACAUCAACGCGAACGCCAUGAAUACAAACUAACACGCAGAGAACAAAGUUAUCAGGAGGAGCCAGUUGGUUAGUUUGCUUUUGGAAUAACAUGAAAGGAGAACAUGCGAUCAAUGAUUAGUAUAAUGCAUACAGUGGUUGCUAUAAUUAGACAGAAGCACUUGAACGUUAUGAAGAUGAAAGACGCGAAGAAUGUAAAAGGAAAUAUAAAAGGUAGUUUCCGUGAAAUCGUUACUUUUAACUUUAGGAAUUAAUUUUACUACUUUUAACUUAGAAAUUCUUUCCAUCCUUUCUUCUCCUCCUUUUUAUGGUUAAUAUUAAUAUUUAUACCAUCAAUAUGGUAAUAAUAAUUCUAAUACUAUUCUUAGUAUCAUCCAGAAAUAAGAGAUCAGAAAUAAUUUAUUUUACUCAUCAACUCAUUGCAAAGGUACAAACAGGUUGUUGCUAAAGAACAUCCAAGUCAGUAAAUCGACCGUUAGUACAUCGGAUCCACUCGAUCGCACUCUACUUUACCAACCAUCAAUACAUAUAAAUACAUAUAUGUUGUUUCAGCAGAGAUACGAACCUCGUUUUGAGUAGACUAAUUGUAACCAAUUAUAGGAUACAAAUCCGGAUUAUAUACCAAAUAAAUUUUUUCAAACAAAUUUAGUUAAUUAAUUAUCCAUAUAUAAUAGGAAAUCGUAGUAGACAAUAACAACAAUGAUCAACAAAUGACGAAUAAUCGCUUAAUUAAUGUGAAAUUAAUGAAGUCAAUAAUGCACAAACCGAGGAGGUGGAAUGAAAAGUUCUUGAAAUAAAGAAGAUAGCCUUACAGCAUAUGGCGUAACUUUAAUAGGCCAGCUAUCGGAAAAUUCUAUCGCAUUGCUUUUACCUCCUUGCCAUUUAAAAGGCUCUUAUACCGCUAGAGAGCAUAUGACCUUACUUUUAUUGCUGUAACUCAAAAUACAAAACAACAGAUACAAUAUUCAUACUAGAAGCUAUACUGCGAAUUUUUUUAAAUUCAUACAUUCCGAGUAUCUAUAUAGUAUAGUAAAUAUAAUUCAAUUUAAUAAAUCAAAGAGUACCGUUUACAUUUCUCAACGUAUGUAUAACGAGUCAAACCUAUCUCUACUAUCUUCGCCUAGCUUCUACUUGAAAGCAUCACUUUUCUUUUUCCAUGCACUCGCGAAUCACUCGAAACUAUCCAACCAGAUUCGAACUUUCGUUCCAUUUCUACAUGUGACGCACCCUGCAUAUUUUUAUCGCGCUCGUCUUAUUACACGUCCCAAGGCGAGUGCAAGGCGUUUCAAUAACAUACAUUUCUACAGCAACUACCACUUUCGCACGGUAUUGUCGCGAACGACGACGAUUAACGGACAGCAAAAUGCCGUGGCUCGGACAGAAUUCUCGUUAUGCAUUAACUUGGAAAUGAUAGGAAGUUGUGCUUGGUAUUUAUCGCUGGCAGCAAAUCAUGGAAACAGCCGGUGAUUGCUUAAUCAGAGGCGCUUCACCUUGUUGAAUUUUCUUCGAGCGUAAAUUAAUCGUUGAGACGACACGACUAUAUUAUUCGUUAUUAUUAUUAUUUAUAUUGUUUGGUAUUUCGUGGGAAUUCGAUUAACUAGAGAACAGAUCGUAUAAAUAAAUUAUACCUGAUUGUUUUUCACUUAAAUAUUUUGCGAUUAUUCCAGACAUUGCUAUCAGGCAUAAGUGACUGAUAAGAAUUUUUAAUUUAUUUUAUUAAUUUAUGUGCAGUUGAUUGAAAGAAAUUAAUCAUUGCAUUGUACCGAUUUCAUCGGUUGAUGCCAUUCUUUAAUCGUCAAUUGAUAAUUGAAAAUAUUAAUCAUGCGAAAAAUUAAAAUGUGAAUCACGAACCGCUGAUAACAUCAUCAAUCAUCAAUUGCUAAUUUUUUGCCGAAGUUUAAUUAAAAUUUCAUUGGAUAUACAUACUCGAACGCAAGUGUUUACGAUUGAAACUGAUUGAUAAAAUAUUAAAAUCGUGAUCAUCGCAUGUGUCUCGUUUAAAUAUUCAAAUUGAGACAAGUCGCUGGGUGCGCCAGAAGAAAAUAAAAAUUAAUCUCGAAAUUAAUUAAUAAAUAUCGCGUUAAUCGCAAACGCAUAGUAUGUCGUAUGAUCGAUAGCAAAUCAAUUCCCAUUCAGACAUAUUUUUAACUUGCAAGAGUUAAUUUAUUUUUUAGAGAUAUUGAAAAUUGAUUUAAAGCACUUUCUUAGAAAACAAUGAGUAAGCAAGAAGCAUGGUUCGAAAGCAUCGAGCAUUCAACAAAUAAUACCUUCCUUUAUUGUAUUAGAUUAAGCGUUAUCUUCGAUGCUGUUAUAUUUGUUCCUAAUAAUCUUACUGCAGCGUUAACAAACAGCAAUUUAACAUCGGUUAUCGAAGCAGUUUGACGCCGAUAAUGCUAAAAUAAAAUGUAGUCUUCGCGCAAAUCGUUUUCAACAAAAUUACACCACAUGAUUAAACAUUAAUAACAAUGUCGUGAUAUCAACAAAGGAACACCAUUGUAUCUAGAAAAAUGCCUUAGUUUGUUCGACUUUGUUCUCAUACAUACGUACAAUAUAUCUCAGUAUAAAUAUCUACUUCAUUCCCAUAUAUCAGGAAAAAUUUUAAUGAUCAACCCUCUAAAACCACAUGCAACUUGCAAGUUAUUAUAUUUAUCAUCAGUUACUCAUACUUCGUUUUGAAUAUUUUAUAUAUAUUAGAUAUUCUUUGGAAUUCUGUCCAUUUCUGCACCGUCAAAUUUUCUAUUAAUUAAAAAUCCGUAGUUUAUAUAUAAACGAAUAAUUAAUAUACAUAAACUGCCACUUUGACUAGCUACUUAAUUUGUGGCGAUAAAAAGUGACAAAGCUUCAUUACCGUGUAAUUGCGCUAUUAUCGUAGGAUUCCGGUUUUUGAUUCGACAGAAAGCUGGUAUUACGGAACGGGCAAGUCAGCAGAUGUACCGUUAAGCGAUUACUAUGCCACUGCACCGCCGCGAGGAAUGUGGGUGGAAGGCAUCCGUCCCUACUAUUGUCUUUUUCCCUCUACACCUUUCCUCCUGUUAGAGUUAGAGUACCAAACAAUCCCAUCACGUCUUUCACUUUUUCCGCUCGCUUAUUUCCUACCUCAUCUCUCCACAGUUUCUCGUUUCGUUUCCUUUUGUAUCUGAUAUUUUGUCAAUUGUAUUCAUUUUCUUAACAUGAUUUGCAAUCGAAUGAUAAACCAACUUCUAUUUUGGUAUUUCAUCGA